rnacentral:lncRNA from 1 species
UUGGGAUUUUCCUUUCCAUUGGGACGAUCCACGAACCGAUCCCAACGACAAUUGCCGAGUAGAGGUUGGCAAUCGGGAGGACUUCCACAAGCUGAAGGACAUGACGGUCUCGGUGCAGAAGGAGCUUGUGAUCGAGCAGGCCCUUUAUGACGUCGGCUUUAGUUCGGCCGCCUGUUUAGGUAUAAUAUAGUCGGUUAUUUUUGACUUCACUUAUUUUUUGAGUUGUACUGAUUUUUGUCGUAAUUGCAGCUAUGCAGCCGAGGGUGUGAGUGUCUGGCACCGACAUUCGUCAGCACGCGGCUAGGAAGAGAACAGCAUCCGAGGUUGGAUCUUCAUG